rnacentral:rRNA from 1 species
AUGGCUGCGGCCAACGGCCCCAUCGCCAUGCGCGAGGCCCUAACGCUGACGAGCCUCGGGAUCGCGCCGCAGUUCAUCACCUUCACCCACGUCACCAUGGAGUCGGACAGGUACAUCUGCGUCCGGGAGACCUCGCCCCAGGGCAACAGCCUCGUCAUGAUCGACAUGGCCAUGCCCAGCCAGCCCCUCCGCAAGCCUCUCACCGUCGACUCCGCACUCAUGAACCCCAGCACCAGGAUCCUCGCGAUCAAGGCUAAAAUUCCAGGAACCACGCAGGAUCACCUGCAAAUCUUUAAUAUUGAAGCUCAUACUAAAAUUAAGGCACACCAGAUGCCUGAGCAGGUUGUGUUUUGGAAAUGGAUCACCCCAAAGUUGUUGGGUUUGGUAACACAGGCAUCAGUGUAUCACUGGUCAAUUGAAGGAGAUUCUAAGCCAAUUAAGAUGUUCGAUAGGACAGCUAAUUUGGCUAAUAAUCAGAUUAUCAACUAUCGGUGCGAUCCAUCGGAGAAGUGGCUCUUGCUUAUUGGAAAUGCACCUGGUGCUCCAGAGAGGCCACAGCUGGUAAAGGGAAAUAUGCAACUUUUUUCUGUGGAUCAGCAGCGUACGGAAGCACUUGAAGCCCAUGCUGCUUCUUUUGCAACAUUCAAGGUUCCUGGCAACGUGAACUCAUCCACCCUCAUCUGUUUUGCUUCAAAGGCAUCUAAUGCUGAAACAAUUACUUCUAAGUUGCAAAUUAUUGAACUGGGCGCCCAGCCAGGGAAACCUGGCUUUUUGAAUAAAAAAAACGGCAUCUUCUUCCCACCAGAUUUCCAGGAUGAUUUUCCUGUAGCCAUACAGAUCUCUCAAAAGUAUGGCCAUGUCUAUGUAAUUACGAAGCUUGGGCUGCUGUUUGUAUAUGACCUGGAAACUGCCAGGGGAGUUUACAUAUAUAGAAUCAGUCCAGACCCCAUAAUCUUGACUGCAGAGUCUUCUACAACUGGUGGAUUUUAUGCCAUUAACAGAAGAGGGCAGGUUUUGCAUGCCACAGUUAACAACGCAACUGCUGUGCGCAUAUUUCCGACACAAUCAUGA